GAAGCGCGGGUGGUGGCGGCUGUGCCGGCGAUGUCGGCGAUGGGCGCCGCCUCCCGUGUCACAGAGGCCGCCGAGUUCCGUCAAGUCUAUGCUUUACUGUCUACCAUGUGCCGAGCACUUCUCCAGGCUCUGGAGGACAUGUACAAAGUUCUGGAAGCUAGAAGUCUGAGAUAAAGGUGUCUGCAGACUUGAUUCCUUCUGAAGCAUCUCUCCUUGGAUUGUAGACGUCCUUCUUCUCACACCUUCUUCACAUGGUCUUUCCUCUCUGUGACUACCAUGAAGAUGCAUUGAAAAUUCUGCUACACUGGAGGAGUGAAGUAUCCCAUUCAGUUGGUGAUCUUCCUGUCAUGGAAGUUGCUUGCCAGCUCUAAUUCUGAAUGAACACAGUAAACACAAUGGUGAAAAUAUCAAUUAAAAAAUAUCAAUUAAAAAAAUCUACUCUCCGUACUAUCUCUUCAGAUCAAGAGGAACUCUUCUCAAGGGGCUAUAUUUAAGGAACUAUACUCAAGAAGUUCAUCAAUACCUGGACCUCAAACCUCAGUCUGAUGUUAUGAGUAUCGGUGGGAGGGAAUGAGUAUAUUUUGCACGUAGGAGGGAUGUGAACUGCUGUAGCCAGAAGGUGGACUGUGGUAUGUUAUAUUUUUGACAACUGGUCUCAGCAAUAUUUUGGGUCCCACAUGCUGUUUUAGAAACUUGCCACUUCCCAUCAAGAGACUGAGUUUACUUCCCCUAUCUUUGAACUUGGGCUGGACUUUGCACUGAUUAGUGGUAUUGGGGGAAGUGAUACUGUAUGACUUCCAAGGCUAGGUUAUAAAAGAUGGUACUGCUUCUGCCUCCCUCUCAGAAUGCUUACCUUUAGAAUCUAGCCACCCACUGUGGUGUGAGGAAGCCUAGGCCACAUAUUGAAGCCAUGUGUAGGUAUUCUGGCACCAGAUUCUCAUCUGACAGCAUCAACCACCAGAUACCUUAGUGAAUGAGGCUUUAUAUAAUUGCAGUCCCCAGCCUUUGAGCCCUCCCAGCUGAUGCUGAGUGGAGCAGAGAUGAGCAGUCCUCUCCAAGGCCUGUCCAAAUUGCAGGUUCAUGAACAAAAAAAUAUUGUUGCUUUAGGUCAGUAAGAUUUAGGGUAAUUUUGAAAUAUAGUCUUAGUAACAAAUAAUUAGAAUGGUUUAUAGUUUGGGGUUUAUUUUUUAAUUAAGUUUUGGUAAUAAAGUUAUGCUGCCUUCAUGAAAUGAGACACAUUUUAUCUUUUUGUUUGGUAUGGAAUAGUUUAAGUAAUAGUGUAAUUAUUUGUUCCUUAACAUCUAGGUAGACUCAAAUUGAAAGGUUUUUUGUUUGUCUUGUUAUUAUCUAAAAUAAUAGUCACUUUUCUAAUCCCUUCUUUGGUAAGUAGUCAGUUUGGAUUUUCUACUUGGUUUACUUUGGUUUAUUUGUAUUUUCUAGGAAAUCAUACAUUUCUUCUAUUCCUAGUCUUGCUAAUGUUUGUUUUGUCUUACAUUUUUAAGCAGGAUCAUAAAGGGUUGUGUGUAUGUGUGUGUGUGUGUUUGUGUGUGUGUGUGUAUGUUUGUAUCUUGUUAGUCUUUAAAACAACAUCUUUUGGAAUUAUUUAUCAAUUCUACUAUUUUCCUAUAUCUGUUAUAGAUUAUAGGUAGAUUAUAUCUGUUAUUUUUAUCCAUUCACUCCUCAAAUUUUCUUUCAGUUAAUUUUGUGCUUUUUUUCAAAAGAACCCCCCAAACUUAGGAUAAACAUAAUGUUUCUGGACUUUUAUUCAUUUGUCUUCAUAAUGAAAGGAUUUAGGGACAUAAAUUUUUGUCUAAUUAUGGCUUUUUCUGUGUUCUAUAAAUUUUUAUGUAUUUACCUUUUCAUUAAUUUCUAGUAUGUGAUUUUUCUCAUUGAUCAGGAAUUAAUUUUCAAAUCAUUAAGAUAUUUCAAGCCAUUUAAAAAUUAUUUCUUAUAUUAUUGAAUUAUCAGUGACUGUGACCUAUAAUAUAUUUACUUUUAAAUAUUUCUUAUGGUUUGCUAUGUGGAAAUCUUUUAAAAUCUGUCAGC